GGGGUGAGGUGUGGGGUUGGCAGGGGGGCUCACCUUUUCUUAUUAUUAUUUUCCAGAUCUUUAACAUUUCCAGUACGUUUAAGCAGACGGAGGCAGAUUAUUUGGAGAUGUUCAUUCAGGUUGCGAAGGAGGUUGGAGGGACCUGCAAUCUGGCCCCAAUCCAGCGCCUGGACCUGUUGGUGCGAGAUUGGCAGCUCUCUGGAGCCUACGGCGCGGACACGGGGCAGGAGUAUCUUGGAGAAAUCACACAGGACCUGGAGGUCUCUGCUGAGCAGCCCCUGGUGUUGGAAGCCCUGAGGGCAAGCGGCACCCGGUGCUACCUAUUGCCCCACCCU